CAUUUGCCACUUUAAUACGCUGUUCCAUAUUCUGACAAUGUGAUCUAUGUCAUUCCUUCAUGUCAUGUUUAAUGAGCUUUAGGUUUUCUUUUCACAUAAAAUUCAUAUGCAAAGAUUUGUCAAACCCCUUUAUAAAAGCAUCUUGUCACAUAUUUGUCCAUAAUGGAAAAUAUCAAAAUAUAUUUUUGUAUUUUGUAUGACUUAUGCAAUCAUAAAUCUCUUCUAGCAACAACAACAUUAUCUUCUUUCCACUCUUAUUUUUCAACAUUAUUAGAUGCUAGUCACAAACCAAACAUAAACUUCCAAAAACAGUUAUAAUUUAUGCAUAGUACUAUUACUAAUAUAUUCACAUGCAUAACUGUAUAAUAUAUUUCACAUGUCAUGCUAAGAAGUUCCUACGUGUCUUGCAUAUAAGAAUUGUCAGAUAUCAUACUCUAGAGUAUGUGGUUCCUCUAUCUAUCCCGUGAUCAAACAGUGAUUCAAAUUCAAUUAUUCUUAUGCAUCCACAUCAACUAGGAACAAACUUCCAAAAUAUACUUGGUAAACUUUUUGGAUUUUUCCUGAAAAAUAAAACUACUUUUAAAUACUUAUCUAUCUAGUAGGUAUGCUUGUGUUUUUCUAUUAUUACAUUUUCAAUUUUUGAGAUACAUUAUAAAAUAUGGAUACUCAUUGGAUUAGGACUAUACCGGUACAUGUCGUUGUCUGUGUUUGUGUCCGUGCUUUAUAGGUGAUACAUAGUUGAAUAGUAAAAUCUUUUUUUUUUUACAAAAGUUGAAUAGUAUAAUCAUAUAAGAUUAUGAAAUUGUAAUAUAUUGUUGAAUAGUAAAAUAAUAUAACAUUUUGUAAUACAUUGUUUAAGAAAACAAACCUGAAACCACAUUUUUUAAUUAGUUAAAGAUUAUAGGUAUUAGCAUGAUUGCACAAAAUAGUCUUUCUUAUUUAGGUAUUUACACAAACCCUAAUUUAAUUUGAUUGUCUUUAUCAUAGACAGCUAAAGGAAACUAGUCUACAAAAUCUUAUUAUUUAGAUUGUUUUCAUAGACAGCUAGAAGAAACAAAGAGCAGUAAAAAGAUAGAGGACUAGAUUCUAUUUUUGUUUUCAACAAGUUUCUUGCACGAUAGUUAACCCUAUUUGAGGCAUUGUGUUACACUAAAUGUGAAAUUUCGUUUGUGUGCACUCAAAACAUAUCAUGUAAUUACACACUCGGUACAUUCCUGGUUCUUCGAUUAAAAUCGGACAAGUCAAAUUUCAACCUCAAUAUUAUAGAUUUUAAAAUGUAUUCAAAACCUGCAACGUCCGAUCUUAAUUCAACAACUAUCGAUGUGUCAACUGUGUUAAUGCACGAGAUUUUGACUGCAUGCAAUCCAAAUCCCUAAAUGUGGAUAACUCUCUCCCUCGGAAUUCAAAUUUUAGUUCGCCACAUUAUGGGUUACUACCUAUUCGCUAGACCCAAUAUCGGUUAGUGGAAUAGUUCAUAUUCAAACAAUGGGUAUUACUAAGUAAAGUAGAACAAGUAACCAUUUUACGGUCGUUUCUGAAGAGAUUUGAACUCAAGUUAGUUGAAGUUAAAAGAUCAAACUCUUAUUACUGAUGUGACAUAUGAUUGAGAAAUAGUGUCUUAAAUAUAUUUAUAUAGACCUUCAUUAUUUAUUUAAAAGCACAAUACAAAUUUGCAUUCCCUUCACAAGAAGACAUUAUUUCUGAAAACUCAAACCUCAUCACAAUGUCUUGGUUCCUUACAAUUCUGUUUCUCAGUCUCACAUUUGGUACUAAUUUUUCAGAAGCAAACCAUGACAACAAGAAGCUUCUUCCUUCACCUGUUGUAGUUGGCACUGUCUACUGUGACACAUGUUUUCAACAAGCUUUCUCUCUAAACAGCCACUUCAUUUCAGGUAAUCCAUUUCAACCUCAAAAGGGUACUUCAAUUUUAUAUCUCUUAAAAUGUUGUAAAAUUUUUCUAAACCUUAUCAUAUUUUAUUUUGUCCUUGUUUUUAUGUAUAGGUGCAUCAAUAGCUGUUGAAUGCAAAAUAGGAAAAACAAAACCAAGAUUCUAUAAAGAAGUGAAAACAAAUGAACAUGGAGAAUUCAAAGUGAAACUACCUUUCUUAGUGAAGAAACAUGUGAAGAGAAUCAAAGGGUGUAAUUUUAAGUUGUUAAGUAGUAAUGAACCAAAUUGUGCUAUAGCCUCAACUUCUACUUCAUCUUCACUAAGCCUAAAGAAAAAGUUGCAACAAGAACACAUUUUUUCAGCUGGGAUUUUCUCAUUCAAGCCUAUAAAAAAACCAAAAUUUUGUGACAAAAAACAUAGUAUUCAUAACCUUAAGAAACAACAUAGUUAUGUGAAAAAUUUGGAACAAUCAAAAUUUUCAAGCAAAAAUAAAGUACCUAAUGAAGUUGAAGAUUUCUUCUUUUUUCCUCCAAACCCUUUUUUUCCACCACCUAUUAUCCCUAAUCCACUUCAACCUCCACCUUUGAUUCCUAACCCUUUGCAACCACCACCUUUGAUUCCAAAUCCAUUUCAACCACCAAGUCCACCCUUGAUUCCUAAUCCAUUUCAACCACCAAGUCCACCACUUAUUCCAAAUCCAUUUCAACCUCCUCCAUCAAAUCCACCACUUAUUCCUAAUCCAUUUCAACCUCCCCCAGCAAGUCCUCCACCACUCAUUCCAAAUCCAUUUCAGCCUCCACCAUCAAGUCCACCACCAUCAUUUCCUUUUCCACCAAUAGUAAUACCAGGUUUAACUCCAUCACCACCGCCGCCGCCACCACCAAAAUCAAUUUUUCCUGCUCCCUUA
rnacentral:lncRNA from 1 species